rnacentral:rRNA from 1 species
UACGUAGGGUGCAGGCGUUAAUCGGAAUUACUGGGCGUAAAGCGUGCGCAGGCGGUCUUUUAAGUCAGAUGUGAAAUCCCCGGGCUUAACCUGGGAACUGCGUUUGAAACUGGAAGGCUUGAGUGUGGCAGAGGGGGGUGGAAUUCCAGGUGUAGCAGUGAAAUGCGUAGAUAUCUGGAGGAACACCGAUGGCGAAGGCAGCCCCCUGGGCUAACACUGACGCUCAUGCACGAAAGCGUGGGGAGCAAACAGG